rnacentral:sRNA from 1 species
GGGACGUGGACUUGUGCCUGCUCAGCGCCGGCGCUGUUCUUUCAGCAUCUACGAGAAGCUGAUCCAGUUCUGUGCCAUUGACGAGCUUGGCACCAACUACCCAAAGGUGCGUCUGGCACACGGGGCUGGAGGGUGAUGGGGACACCCAGGGUCCUUUGCUUGUUCCAUGGGAUUUGACCUGCAGCCACAGAAAGGUCCAUGUGGUGGCACGGCUCGUUGAAAGCACAGUCCCCGUCUCUUUUGUUUGAGUCCCUAUUGUUCUGAAAUAGUCCAAUAAAGAGAUUCCGGUGGCCGGCCUGGUGCCUGGCCCCUGACUGGUGGGGACAUGUGUGGACCUGCUGCUCCUGGGGUUCGCUGGAUGGGGGCUUCAUGCUCUCAUGUUCUUCAGCACUUGCCAGCCGCCCCUUGGCUAAAGACCAAAGAUGACAGCCGAGCCCCGGGAUAUGUUUGAUCCCCAUGGCUGGUCUGAGGACUCCUACUAUGAGGCAUUAGCCAAGGCCCAGAAAAUUGAGAUGGACAAAUUGGAAAAGGCCAAAAAGGAGCGAACAAAAAUUGAGUUUGUGACGGGCACCAAGAAAGGCACCACGACCAACGCCACGUCCACCACCACUACCACUGCCAGCACAGCUGUUGCAGAUGCUCAGAAGAGAAAGAGCAAGUGGGACUCGGCUAUCCCAGUGACAACGAUAGCCCAGCCCACCAUCCUCACCACCACAGCCACCCUGCCAGCUGUUGUCACGGUCACCACCAGCGCCAGCGGCUCCAAGACCACCGUCAUCUCUGCUGUGGGCACCAUUGUGAAGAAGGCCAAGCAGUGACCUCAGGGGCCACCCUAGGACUUGAAAGGACCGUGCAGCCCAGUGACCACUGCCCAGUGGGAGGCGCCACUUUGUAUAUUUCAGGACUGGGACCUGCUCCCCAGAUGCCACCUGAGAGGAGCUUCUGUUUGGCAUUCCAGAUGGAAGGACAGGCAGCACGGGAGCCAGGCGCUGUGGACA